GAUGAACGCUGGCGGCGUGCCUAACACAUGCAAGUCGAGCGAUCUUCUUCGGAAGAGAGCGGCGGACGGGUGAGUAACGCGUGGGUAACCUGCCCUGUACACACGGAUAACAUACCGAAAGGUAUGCUCAUACGGGAUAAUAUAAGAAAUUCGCAUGUUUUUCUUAUCAAAGCUCCGGCGGUACAGGAUGGACCCGCGUCUGAUUAGCUAGUUGGUGAGGUAACGGCUCACCAAAGCGACGAUCAGUAGCCGACCUGAGAGGUGGAUCGGCCACAUUGGAGCUGAGACACGGUCCAAACUCCUACGGGAGGCAGCAGUGGGGAAUAUUGCACAAUGGGCGAAAGCCUGAUGCAGCAACGCCGCGUGAGCGAUGAAGGCCUUCGGGUCGUAAAGCUCUGUCCUCAAGGAAGAUAAUGACGGUACUUGAGGAGGAAGCCCCGGCUAACUACGUGCCAGCCGCCGCGGUAAAAC
rnacentral:rRNA from 1 species